GAUGAACGCUGGCGGCGUGCCUAAUACAUGCAAGUCGAGCGAACAGACGCGGAGCUUGCUCCUCUGACGUUAGCGGCGGACGGGUGAGUAACACGUGGAUAACCUACCUAUAAGACUGGGAUAACUUCGGGAAACCGGAGCUAAUACCGGAUAAUAUAUUGAACCGCAUGGUUCAAUAGUGAAAGACGGUUUUGCUGUCACUUAUAGAUGGAUCCGCGCCGCAUUAGCUAGUUGGUAAGGUAACGGCUUACCAAGGCAACGAUGCGUAGCCGACCUGAGAGGGUGAUCGGCCACACUGGAACUGAGACACGGUCCAGACUCCUACGGGAGGCAGCAGUAGGGAAUCUUCCGCAAUGGGCGAAAGCUUGACGGAGCAACGCCGCGUGAGUGAUGAAGGUCUUCGGAUUGUAAAACUCUGUUAUUAGGGAAGAACAAAUGUGUAAGUAACUAUGCACGUCUUGACGGUACCUAAUCAGAAAGCCACGGCUAACUACGUG
rnacentral:rRNA from 1 species